UCGAAAUUCCUUAGGCAUCCCAUCAAAUGGAUCAUCAAAUAAAAUAUUCUCAUCCAAUCCACCACACAUUGUCUUCAUGAAAUUCCCAACAAGUUGCCACAUAGCCCAAUUCUCAAACUCCUUUAGUCCAUGAGGCGUCACAAACCGAAAAUCCCCCUCGACAUUCAUAAUCUCGUGAUUUCCAUUCAUCGUAAUAACCCUCCCACCAACUUUCGCAGCCUCCCUCUUCAGUUUCUCAAAGAAAUACAACAACUUAAUCUCAUCCCCACCCCGGUCCAGAAUGUCCCCCACCUGUACAACUGUACUCGACCCGCCCGACCACCGAUCGUUCAGGUCAAUCAGACCCGAAAGCCUUAACGCCUGUUUAGUCUUUAAAAGGUCUCCAUGGAGGUCCCCAAUGGCAAUGAGGCGAGCGGGCUGUGCAAAUACAGUUUGUAAAGGAGGCAACCAUGAUGAAUCCUUGGGAUUUUUGGAAUUCUGGAUCGUAAUCGGAUCCGGAUUUAUGCUAGGUUCAGGGGGCAAGAAAAGGCCGCCGCUAACUGAGAAAUCGACGAAAGCAUCGACGAAGGAGGAGAGUAGCGAAGGAAGAAUUUGACAAUUAAUUUGGGAUUCCAUUUAUUUUUUCCAAAUUUUUCGCUGUUUCUUUCCUAUAAAUAUCUCUAAUGGGGUUUGGUUUAAAUUUGAUGACAAUUUCACAAGUGGUCACUCGAGAUCAAGACGAAUUCCAAAUUGGUCUCUGGAUUAAAAUUUGAUGACAAUUUCACAAGUGGUCACUAGACUUUAUUCCCCAUCCUCGAUAACUUACGAGCUUACGUCCACCCUUGGUUGGGUAUAGUUUCUUUUCGAUUUAUCCCUCGUAGCCAUUAUCCUAUUUCACACAAUUCUACCGAUGGAAAGGUUUUCAAUAAAAUUAUAUUAUCUAUGUAAAAAACAUCUUUAAAUUUAAAUUGCAAGUCUUUGGCUCCAAACUCCAACUAAUGUCUUAUCAAACUUCAACGUAAUUAAUGUCAUUCACCUUUGUCUAGGGGCAUACAAGCCACCUACUCCCGAUUGUCAGAAUCCAUCUUGUCUUGUCCUCCGAAUUCUUGAUCAAUAAUUUAUCCAAUGAAAACUAAAAAAACGCACGAGUUUUUCUCAAUAUGUUUACUAAAAUAUAUGAGGAUUAUAUCAGCCAAAAAAAAUCAUUUAAUUCAUAAUUUCCUGUCAUUGUAGUCAAAGAAGUAUCACCAUACAUCUCAAUCUCACUUUUUUUUUAAAGGAGUAACUGCUUGACAGAGCAGUCUUCAUUCAAUCAUUCACUCUAUUAGUUUCAUCAUAGAUUCGCCAUGAACUAACAACCAUAUUUUCAUGUCGCGUAUAAUCUAAAAUCAAAUACGGUUCUUAAAAAAAAUGAUAUUUUGGGAAAUUCAAAUUGAUUCAUUUGAUUCUUACACAUUUUUGCCAUUAAUAAAUAGUAGAAAUGUCAUAAUAUGUAUGAAACAGGAGGUCAAUUGGAGGAAAUCUUAUUUUUAAUGAAUGUUAGUUCAUGUCAAGGUUUAACGACUAUUUACAUCGAAUAUGUUGUUAACUGGGUUAAUAUAGUGAUCAAUUAUGUAAUGGUUACAUGGGUCAAUAAUAAUAUUUUAAGAACCAAUUUGAAUUUUCACUGAACAUUAAGGACCACGUGCGAAAUUAACUCAAAUUCAAGUGCCGUUUCGUGAGGUUCUACGAGAUGUUAGACCAAUAGAAUAAGGAGCCGCCUUGGAAUUGACUUUAGAGCAUUACGCAUCGUUUUCCUUGACGGUUGGAUUGUCGCCUACUCUUUUUGACGAUUAUACUUAUACUUGACUCAUCAUUUUUAGAUAUUUAAUAUUUGUAAACACUUUAGUCAAAAAAAUAUUUUCGAACAAUUUUUUUUUUUUUAUCCAUACAUUCGCAAGAUUCACGAGUAUUAUUCACUUAUACAUCGCUCAUUUAUCAGUAUUGUUCAUACGUAACAUAUCAUUUUAUUCUUUUGGAAGUUAAGAUUUCUUGAAACUCCCUCGAAUGAGCUUGCUACGUUAUUCGUUAUUUAUUUCGUAACAUAUGGUAUCAACUCGAGCAACAAAACUCAGGAGCAUAUACCAGCAAUGUUGCGAUAGAUAGAGAUCUAUAUACAUCAUGACGAUGUCAAACAAUACGACAACGUUGUUGUAUCAUUUCAGCAUGCCAACACAUAUUUGAUCAUAUUAAUAGUCAGAUCAACCUAUAUGGCAUAUAGACUAAGUACAUGCAAUUGAUCACAAUCGGCCAAGUGAUAUAUAUGCAAAUCGAGCAUGGAUAAGUAAUUUGUAACCAAGCGAUGAUGAUCACCAAAAUUGCCUCGAGAGUUUUUGGAGUUUACAGUAAGCACGAAAAACAUACCAUAGACGAUUCACUAAAACGUCGAAGCUAUAGCUGCCUCUAUAUAUGAAGAUCUAGCAAAACCACACCAGAAACAAUAGGUACCUACAGUACGAGUCCCAUACCAGAUGUGAACAAGAAAUUGCAAGGGAACAAACUAUGGCUCUUAUUUGUUUACCUGUCGCAUGAUGCACUCAGAGUUGUACCUCUCGAUCGUAUAUCCAGCUAAAUGGAAUUCUUGGUCCUUGCUUGGCCCGCCCUUGAGCUCUUUCCUCUAACCGUCUGAUUCUUGGAGGCAAUCCACAGACAUAAUCCUGAGCCUUUUGCCCUUCUGAAGAUAGUCCAGUUAGCUUUGUCACGUUCCAUCUGUUGACCAAAUGCUCUAGAAUGUCGGCAUAGUCUCUAGCCGUGUAGACAUCAAGCCGCUGAGCAACAGCUGAAAAGUGAUCAAAAAGAUUAUCAUCACGUCCAUCAUACAUCAAGUGGGCUGGCAUUGAGAUUUUCUUCCUCAUCAUGUCAGCAAAAGCCAGCACUGUUCCAUCAGGGUCGAUCUCAAACAGCUUUUCAACUAUUUUGGUGUAUGCAAUUUCAUGACGCCUCUCGUCCGCGGCAAUUGUACCACAUAUUUGAGCCAGCUUCAAGUCACCACGGUCCUUCGCGUGUCUUGCUGUGUUACCAUGAGAAAUGAAAGUGGCCCUUUCUUGGAAUGAUGUAUAGAUAAAUCCAAGGUAAGGAUUGUUUUCUGUCCGAGGAUCCUGAAAAUAUUCAAGGACAAUCGAUAGAAUGAGUCUAAAAUUUCAAAUUUUUAUAAACAGCUUAUUUGGCAAGAAUCUCACCAUUCCCGACCCUAUCAAGUACUGGAUCGUCUUCUCAAUUUGUCUCAUGUCUACUCGUCCCGACAGAUAGAGAUAUUUGUUUAGGAGGUCUCCAUGCCUGUUCUCUUCAGCAGUCCAUGCUCUAGUCCAAGUUGCCCAGGGAGUAGGACUAGCCCCAGUUUCAUCUCGCACCCCAUCCAAUGUAUUAAGCAUUGUCUGGUACGUUGGAAGGGCUUCUUCUGUGAUCAUAUCGCCAACUAGAACGACAAAAUAAUCGUCAGGAAGUUCCUUUGCUCUCUCCCGUAGUUCCUUGACAUGAUCGUGAAAUUCAUCAGAAGCAGGAUCUGGCAGGAAAUCCUGCGGUUGCCAGCAUUUUUCAACUGGCUUCAGGUGAACUAAUAUGUUUUCUUCAGCCCAGUCCUCCAUCACCUUAAAGAUCUCAAUCUUUUGAGGUGGCAUAGAAUGUGUUACUUGAACGUGAACCUCAUGUGGAGGACUAAAUGGCUUCUUGAGAGUCUCAACCUCCCUGCAACAGAAUUCGACAAAAAAAAAAAAGGGAAAAUUUUAGACUGCAGAACAAUCAUUCAAGCAUAGCAGGGAACUUCUAAGCAAUUCAUAGGUAAUCGUAUCCAGAAAUGCUAGUAUCCAUGUUGGACAGUAGACUCCUCAAAAGUAGACCAACAUACUCUAAUGUCCUAUUAUAAUCGCUUUACUAUUUAAAAGUUACACAUAAGCAAAAUAAAAUGAAAUGCAAAUCGAACUCCUUAUUAACGGAUAAGCAUAUUACAUCAUUAAAGGCCAUCUUACAGAAUCGAAAUGCAAAUGUAUCCCAAUUAUAAUAUCAGAGACAACAAAGUUACGAUUGGCAAUCAAAAUCAAGAGAAUUAGCAUUUUGACGUUAUCUACUGAAGCUGUUAAUGGAAUGUCUAAAUCUAUCUUAAGUAUUUCUGUGGAUAACUUACUCUAUAAUAGAUGGAUGAAUAGAGAGAAACAAAGAGUAUCAAUGCGUAAACAGGCAGUAGGAAACUAAGUUUACGAGAAGAAACUAGGAAGAGAUAUCCGAAAAAUCAUUUUUCCAGAUUGAAAACACUUAUCGAUAUUACAAUUGGUUACAUUAUUUGAGUUAUCUAAACAUCCAAAACAAUCAUAUAUUAUGCCAUGGCCGGCUCUCUUCAACCCCAAAGAUGCGCAUCCUAAACGGCAAGGUAUCAAUAAAAUAAUUCACGUCAAGAAAAUAAUAAGACAAUUCAAGGUAUACGUGCUAUACCUUACAGAAAAUGGGAUGAUCAUACAUAUAAAGGAGUGACAAUGUAAACAAUAACACACAAAACACGGUAAUCACGAUAGAAAACUUUGUCACAAAAACUCAACAAAUUUGAAGAAUUAAAUUUCAAUGUUCAUUUGAUUGUUGAAAGACUCAAGCAGUUGUUAUCAACUAGAAAAAAGAAAAAAAUAAAAAUUAAACCAAAGUACCAACAACAAAUUAUACCAAACAUUUUCUUAUAAUGAUCUGAUGACCAUAUGUUAUCAGAUUAUCAUUAAUCUCUUCUCAUCAGUUUACAGAAAGGACGGAUUUGAUAAUCACAAAAAAUGUACAUUAGCACAAACUAAAGAAUACCUUACAUACCUUAAUCUAUGUAUAAGCCAAAAAAAAAGAAAAGUUUAAUUUCUUAUCUUUUUUCUUUUGGGGAUGGGUGGCUGUAUAUAAAAUUUACAAAGAUUAACUAAACUAAUAGCAUGCAUCCAUUUGAAGAUGUAACUUCAUGAACCACAGGCACAAAUUAACCAAAACAAAAACCGAAUUAUAAAAAAUAAAAAGUUCGAAAGGCAAGCGUAAAACAUAAUCUUCAAAAAGAACAAGAUAAUAGAGCAGAAAACAAUUGUAUUAUCUAAACAAUGCGUUGAAUAUGAGUUAAAAGACAAGAAACUGCAAAAAUCAGAGAUAAAAACAAAAAACCCAGAUAAAGAAAAAGCAGAAAAACAAUAAUUUGCAUUAAAGAUCCAAGCUUUAUAGAGAAAGACUAAUAAAAAAAAGGCCUAAAGGAUUUAAAUAAUUAUAAAAAAGGAAGUAAGAAAGGAAGGCUUAUUACUUGGAGCCAGAGCGAAGAGUAGAAGCCAUGAAAAACUUGGGAGAUCUGUGGCUGACAACAAGUGGUAGAGCAAAUGAAGGGCAUUUUUGGGAUUGAAAGUUGAUUGCAUUCAAUUUCAAAGCCAUUUUUUUCCAGCUUGAUUUCAAUGUAAUCUUCUGUUUUCUGCUUUAAUUUUCAGGUUUUGUUUCCUCCACAGAAGUGGUGGCUGCAAAAUAUGUGAGAGAGAAAAGGAGAGAGAUGAGAAAUUGUGGGACAGGGAAGCCAGUUGGAGUUGUUUGAAGAAAAGGAUUUAGCUUGGGAGCGAGAGAGCGUGUAUAUAUAUUGAUGUUUUAAAAACGAACUCGACCACGAACUCUGCGUGAUUAGUGAUUUUACCGUCAUAUAAACUGAUGAUAUCAUGAUAACAAUGUUUAUAACCAUCGUCGAUUUCAGUGACGAUCACGGACAUUUGGAAUUAGUAAGUCACAAUUAAAUUAUUAAAAAGUUAUAAAAAAAUUAUUUAGAAUUAAGCUAAAUGACAACAUUGUUUAACACAUCUUUCACAAUCGAGAUGUGGGUCCCAUAUGAAUAAAAUAAUGCCGACCUCCCCAUAUGAGUGAAUGUGUCAACCGAUAUGUCAAGUUUUGUGGUCCUGUAGCAUGACCCAAUUAUAUAUUCUACAAAAANNNNNNNNNNNNNNNNNNNNNNNNNNNNNNNNNNNNNNNNNNNNNNNNNNNNNNNNNNNNNNNNNNNNNNNNNNNNNNNNNNNNNNNNNNNNNNNNNNNNNNNNNNNNNNNNNNNNNNNNNNNNNNNNNNNNNNNNNNNNNNNNNNNNNNNNNNNNNNNNNNNNNNNNNNNNNNNNNNNNNNNNNNNNNNNNNNNNNNAAAAAAAAAAAAAAAAUUCCAGAAAACUGUGGGGUCAUUUGACCCCAUAUGACCCCAUGUGGGUCCGCCCCUGCCUUUGUGCAUACUCUGAGAAAACAUACCCCACCAACAUCGAGUUCCAAGAAACUGAGUCCAACACAGGACAUCCAUCAAACAUCCUUCUAGCAUCACUUACUUUGCCACACACACUAUACAUAUAAAUCAAAUUGUUCACCCCAUAGACAUCACAAUCAAAACCCCAUUUCCAUCACAUGAUCAUGCAACUCUUUGCCCUCAAACUUCAAUGAUAACUUCUUAAGCUUACAAAAUUUUUAUGCUCAAAGUAAAAAGUAGACAAGUGCGCGGUGACAUGAAUUCGUGUAAAAAUAGACAGCAUCCAUGAAACGUUGAAUUUGAGAUCAAUUAUCAAAAUCAUAAAAGUCAAAUCUUGUGGAGAGAAAAAUACAAAUCCGUUGAAUGGAAACAAAUAAAGUGAAAUAAUUCCGACAGAUGGAGACCCAACUGAAGCAAAUGCUAGAAAAUCAAUAACUUGGAAAUUUCAAUCAAAAAUAUAAUAGAUGUGACCAUUAUUUGAAUCUUAAAAAGUCAAAUUCUACAAUUCUAAAUAAAAAAUUCCUGACAUAUAGGGUUGUGAUCACAAAAUUCCUUAAUGGCUCGACCAUAAAGUUCAUUGUGAACAUAUAGAUUAAAAUGAUUUUAAAACUUAACUUAGAAAAAUAGUGGAGGUGACGAGCAAAGUGGUCGUGGGUCACUGGCUAGGGUUGAAAUUUGAAAAAAGGUUCGACCUCUAACUUCUUUAGUUGUUUUGUGGUUUGUUCUCUUUGUGUGAAAGAGAGAAGGGAACACUGGAAUGGAAGAAGAGAAGAAGCUGCUUGUUGUCGCUUGGUCACCAGUCCGGUUGGAGUAUCGGAGGCAGAGCCGCGGAGGCAGUCGUGCAACUCGCAAGAGCCAGGACUGAAAUAGACAUAAAAAAAAUUAUUUCCUUUUAGGCCCCCUCCAAUUUUGGGCCUGAGGCGCAGGCCUCAUUUUCUUGAUGGCCAUAAGUCAUCGACAUACACAACACAAUGGUUUCGUAUUUCAAUUAAUAAAUCAGACCAUGAAUAUACCACAAGCUUUCUGAAUCAUGUUCCCGUCACUUUCCUUUUAUAGCAUCCAAUCCAAAAGAACAAAUAUUUUUAAUUCUACAUGAAUAACAAUAUCCAUUACAGACACAGAAAACUAACUAUACAUUCUCUCCCUUCCUAGAAGUCAGUCUCAACAUACUCUCCUCUGCACAAAGAUCUUACUUUCUUGGCUAAAGCAUCAGCCACAUGAUGAAAUUGACAGUGAAGGUAGUAACAAGAAUUCUAUAUUUGAUUUUUUUUCAAUGCAAAAAUUAUUAUAUCACAACAAUCAGCAAACUCAUAGCCGCAGUUAUCAGUAGGCUACUACAGUUACACUGCACUUCAUCACAACAGAAUUUUGCGAUUUUUUCGCACAUUACAUCCUUCUUUGCAGUCUACACUAUUUAUAGAGCAAAAAAGGUAGCAGAAUUAACUUGCCCAGAAUGCAAAACAUAUAAAAAAGGAAGCAGAACCUCGUAAGAAUAUUAUGUAAUGUAGCACAUUACCUCUAUUUUGCUAAUGUUUUUCCAUAUAAUAAAUGCAAACACUUUGCCCCCAAAAAUCAAGCAUGUAUUUUGAGUUGUCGCCUAGCAGUAUCACUUUUUGGGAAAAGAAUGUUAAAUUUUUCUUAAGAAAACCCAAAAGACUCCCUCAAGAAGAAUUUCGAACAUGAUGGUGAUAUCUCACGACAUGCAUGAUUAGCACGAGUCGGUGUGAUUACAGGAGAUUCAUAUUUAUGCAUUCAUUAUCUUUACUUUGUACUCUAGCCUCCAGAUGGAGUAAUUAUUUUUUCUUUAUUUUUUUCUUGUGGAAGUCAAGCCUAAGCCCCCUACUAGUACUAUUUUGCUUUCGUUACCAUUACAAUGGACCACUGAGUGUGGUCGAUUCAUCCAAGAAAAAGAAAUAUCUAAUGAGAAUCCACAAAUUUUUUUAAACUUAGAUCCCGAGAUAACUCUCUUUUCUACAAUAGACAAACUAGAAUGGAUUUAAAUUGCAUUAUAUAUAGAAAGGUUCUGAUGAUAAUGGAACAAAAACAGAAAAUGCAUUUAUCUUUUACAUCAAUUCCUAACAAGAUCUGGGGCUUGAAUGUCAUCAGGAGAAUGCGAUUACUUGGCCAUCCAUUACUCAUCAGUUUAGCAUUGCCUUAUGGAAGAGCAAUGCAAUCACUGUAGGCUAAGAAUCUUCUGUCUUGAAUCACUAGUCUAGAGUCAGUAUGGCUCGAACAUCGCUCAAUAAUCACAUCUACGCAUUUAUGAAAAAUUUGAAAUGCGCAAGCAACCUCAUAGGUCAGGAUAACAGAUAACAAACCAAACUUUGAACACAGAACAAAGAAACACAACCAGAACAAGAUCUAUUGAUAGUUUUUCAAAUUUUGAUGAAUAGAAGCACUUGAAAUAUAAUUGGAAGUGCAAAAGCAAUUUUACAAUUGAACAAAGGUCGACGACAGGGAUUACAAGAUUACAAUUACAUCAGUUCCCCGUAAUCAAAAGCCAGAUUGAAUGACUGGAGGUAUAAUCCCAAGAACUUCCAGAGCUGACAAGUAUUGAUGAUAGCACAUCUAUUAAGCACUAACUUCUACUUGUUCUGCUCCUUGUUCAGGGAGCAAUGAACCAAACCCAUCCUUUUUAUUAGCAUUUAAAGAAGCAUCAUAUCCUUUCCAAUACAGAGGAUUUGAUGUCAAAAUCUUGACCUCAGAUUUAUCAUUGAUCUCCAGAACCUCCGGUAAUCCAUUAUUACACCCCCUCGACAUUCCCACAUCGAUUCUUAUGGCUCGGUUACUGCAAACUCCAUUAAUCCCACGUUCCUGAAUCGUAUGACCCAUGAUCAUCCUCUUCACUCCAGGAAUAGUCUCAAGCGCAUGCUCAAGGGUCGAACAAUCACAAUCCUUAGCCAACUCUUUCGAAAAGCUUCUCAACCAAACAAUAGAGUUUCUCCCCCUCACCAACUGAUUCGCCACUUUCAACCUUAACCCAAGAAUCCAAUCCCUCACCUCCUCAUUUACACGCUCCAAUCCAUAAAAGACAUGCUUCGGCAAUAACCCUCCAUGGACAAAUACAGAAUCCCCAACAACCACAACUGUCUGGUUCUUUGACAAAAACCUUUUUGCAAUCAAUCCAUUUGGUCGCAACGCAGCCAUUCGUGCUCUAACACCAUUCAACAACUCCGGCUUAAUUCCUCGAAAUUCCUUAGGCAUCCCAUCAAAUGGAUCAUCAAAUAAAAUAUUCUCAUCCAAUCCACCACACAUUGUCUUCAUGAAACUCCCAACAAGUUGCCACGUAGCCCAAUUCUCAAACUCCUUUAGUCCAUGAGGCGUCACAAACCGAAAAUCCCCGUCGACAUUCAUAAUCUCGUGAUUUCCAUUCAUCGUAAUAACCCUCCCACCAACUUGCGCAGCCUCCCUCUUCAGUUUCUCAAAGAAAUACAACAACUUAAUCUCAUCCCCACCCCGGUCCAGAAUGUCCCCCACCUGUACAACUGUACUCGACCCGCCCGACCACCGAUCGUUCAGGUCAAUCAGACCCGAAAGCCUUAACGCCUGUUUAGUCUUUAAAAGGUCUCCAUGGAGGUCCCCAAUGGCAAUGAGGCGAGCGGGCUGUGCAAAUACAGUUUGUAAAGGAGGCAACCCUGAUGAAUCCUUGGGAUUUUUGGAAUUCUGGAUCGUAAUCGGAUCCGGAUUUAUGCUAGGUUCAGGGGGCAAGAAAAGGCCGCCGCUAACUGAGAAAUCGACGAAAGUAUCGACGAAGGAGGAGAGUAGCGAAGGAAGAAUUUGACAAUUAAUUUGGGAUUCCAUUUCUUUUUUCCAAAUUUUUCGCUGUUUCUUUC
rnacentral:lncRNA from 1 species